AUGGGGAUCGUGGAUGCGUUGAUUACAUCGGCCGGAGCAAUAGGCAAAGAACUAGGCCAAGCAACAACGGCAAACACGGAAUUCAUCAGCGACAAGAACUGCGUCGAGCACCACGUGGCCAACGGCGGGUGCAUCGACGAGUUCAUCACGGCGGUGGACGAGUGCCACCCCAGGCAGAUCAAGACUCGGGAGGACCCUGACGAGCGCGUCCUCGAUGCCGAUGCGUGUGUCAAGGCGACGGCGGCGCUGCGUGAGUGCUUCGAGGGCAACCGCAUGUGGUUCGCGCAGCAGUACAUACGCCGCUUGGACGAGGGCCUCGAUGAGGACCGGAAGCCAUCGCCGGAGAAGGUGGAGGAGGAAGAGCUGACAAGGUUCAGGUGGUGGACUGGCAUGAGGAGAAGCUAG
rnacentral:rRNA from 1 species